AGAGGAUGCCCAGGGUUAGACUGCAUCUUCCCGCUGCCACUAACCCUUCUUCUUUCCCCCAGUUCUGUACUGUCCGGAGAUCAAGGACUUGGCCCACAUGACUCGCUGCACGCUGUAGCCCCGGGGCCGGAAGCUGAGGCCGGAGGGAGGACUGGCACGGACGAGGAAGUGCAGCCGAGGGCAGGAGGGAACGCCCUGGAGGUGUUGAUGCUGAGCCGGGGAGGCUCCUAGACGAAUCGCCCCCAUCUGCUGACUGUGCCAGCCAUGUUUAGGAUAGAGCGGCCCAGGGAUGAUGAUAAAAACAGUCUAUGGACCCGUGGGAAGGAGACAGAUUGUUUCCUUCGCUCUGACUUGGCUUUUGUCCAGGGCAGCUCUGGUUGUGUGGGAGCGACAAGUCCCAUUUUAGCAAUUUUGUGUCAAUGGUUUGAAAAUUUCAAAA